AAAUUGAAGAGUUUGAUCAUGGCUCAGAUUGAACGCUGGCGGCAGGCCUAACACAUGCAAGUCGAGCGGUAGCACAGAGAGCUUGCUCUCGGGUGACGAGCGGCGGACGGGUGAGUAAUGUCUGGGAAACUGCCUGAUGGAGGGGGAUAACUACUGGAAACGGUAGCUAAUACCGCAUAACGUCGCAAGACCAAAGUGGGGGACCUUCGGGCCUCAUGCCAUCAGAUGUGCCCAGAUGGGAUUAGCUAGUAGGUGGGGUAACGGCUCACCUAGGCGACGAUCCCUAGCUGGUCUGAGAGGAUGACCAGCCACACUGGAACUGAGACACGGUCCAGACUCCUACGGGAGGCAGCAGUGGGGAAUAUUGCACAAUGGGCGCAAGCCUGAUGCAGCCAUGCCGCGUGUGUGAAGAAGGCCUUCGGGUUGUAAAGCACUUUCAGCGGGGAGGAAGGCGGUGAGGUUAAUAACCUCAUCGAUUGACGUUACCCGCAGAAGAAGCACCGGCUAACUCCGUGCCAGCAGCCGCGGUAAUACGGAGGGUGCAAGCGUUAAUCGGAAUUACUGGGCGUAAAGCGCACGCAGGCGGUCUGUCAAGUCGGAUGUGAAAUCCCCGGGCUCAACCUGGGAACUGCAUUCGAAACUGGCAGGCUAGAGUCUUGUAGAGGGGGGUAGAAUUCCAGGUGUAGCGGUGAAAUGCGUAGAGAUCUGGAGGAAUACCGGUGGCGAAGGCGGCCCCCUGGACAAAGACUGACGCUCAGGUGCGAAAGCGUGGGGAGCAAACAGGAUUAGAUACCCUGGUAGUCCACGCCGUAAACGAUGUCGAUUUGGAGGUUGUGCCCUUGAGGCGUGGCUUCCGGAGCUAACGCGUUAAAUCGACCGCCUGGGGAGUACGGCCGCAAGGUUAAAACUCAAAUGAAUUGACGGGGGCCCGCACAAGCGGUGGAGCAUGUGGUUUAAUUCGAUGCAACGCGAAGAACCUUACCUGGUCUUGACAUCCACAGAACUUAGCAGAGAUGCUUUGGUGCCUUCGGGAACUGUGAGACAGGUGCUGCAUGGCUGUCGUCAGCUCGUGUUGUGAAAUGUUGGGUUAAGUCCCGCAACGAGCGCAACCCUUAUCCUUUGUUGCCAGCGGUUCGGCCGGGAACUCAAAGGAGACUGCCAGUGAUAAACUGGAGGAAGGUGGGGAUGACGUCAAGUCAUCAUGGCCCUUACGACCAGGGCUACACACGUGCUACAAUGGCAUAUACAAAGAGAAGCGACCUCGCGAGAGCAAGCGGACCUCAUAAAGUAUGUCGUAGUCCGGAUUGGAGUCUGCAACUCGACUCCAUGAAGUCGGAAUCGCUAGUAAUCGUAGAUCAGAAUGCUACGGUGAAUACGUUCCCGGGCCUUGUACACACCGCCCGUCACACCAUGGGAGUGGGUUGCAAAAGAAGUAGGUAGCUUAACCUUCGGGAGGGCGCUUACCACUUUGUGAUUCAUGACUGGGGUGAAGUCGUAACAAGGUAACCGUAGGGGAACCUGCGGUUGGAUCACCUCCUUA
rnacentral:rRNA from 1 species